CUGCCCAGUGAUUAAGUUUAAACGGCCGCGGUAUCCUAACCGUGCAAAGGUAGCAUAAUCACUUGCCUAUUAAUUGUAGGCUAGAAUGAAAGGAUAAACGCAAUAAAAGCUGUCUCAAUUAUUAUCACAUAAAUUAACAUUUACAUGAAGAGUUGUAAAUAAGUUUGAAGGACAAGAAGACCCUAUAGAGCUUUAUUUUUAUCACAGUAAAUUAGUUGUGUAUAAAAUUCGGUUGGGGCGACCGAGGGAAUGGAAUAUAACACCCUUUUUUUUAAAGAUAUCUUAAUCACUGUAAUGACCCUUAAAUGAUCAUAAGAACAAGCUACCUUAGGGAUAACAGGCUAAUUCUAUUUAAGAGUUCAUAUCUACAAUAGAGUUUGGCACCUCGAUGUUGGCUUAGGGUAUCACCUCAGCGCAAAAGUUGAGAAAAGAUGGUUUGUUCAACCAAUAACCCCU
rnacentral:rRNA from 1 species